CCUCCUCCUCUGCCCAGAACAUAAAAAGUAGCCACUGAUGUUGAAAGGCACUCUCUUUUUAUUUGUCUAAGUAAACAGCCACAUCGUUCACUGUGAUUACAAUUGCCGAGGAACACAAUCAGAAGGUUGAGUUUGAUCAAUGGCUUGCACUACCUUUAGAUCAGGGCUUACCAAACUUUUCACUCAGGCCCCCCUUGCAGCAUUGGGGAAUGGAGAACACACCUGCAAUUCUACACAUUUGUCAUGGGGUGCACAGAAUUUUGCUGUUUCAAAGCAAAUGUUCUUGCAAUUCUAUACAUUUUGCCAUGUCUAAUGUGUAUUCAUGUGAUAUUUGAGUGACUCAAACAGUAACAACAAAAUCUAUGGGCAAAAAAUCCUGGCUAAAAAAAGUUAGCUGACAUGGGAUAGUUGAUCUGGACAAUUACAAAUAGCUCUCUAAGGUCUGCAAUGACUGACAUGGGAUAGUUGAUCUGGACAUUUACAAAUAGUUCUCUAAGGUAUGCAAUGACUGACAUGGGAUAGUUGAUCUGGACAUUUACAAAUAGCUCUCUAAGGUAUGCAAUGACUGACAUGGGAUAGUUGAUCUGGACAUUUACAAAUAUCUCUCUAAGGUAUGCAAUGACUGACAUGGGAUAGUUGAUCUGGACAUUUACAAAUAUCUCUCUAAGGUAUGCAAUGACUGACAAUGACAAGAGGAAAACUGAUGAUGCACUACCCUAUUACAACUUUUAAGAGUAUUUCAUUUUUUUAUUUUGUAUUUAACCUUUAUUUAACUAGGCAAGUUAGUUAAGAACAAACUCUUAUUUACAACGACAGCCUACAGUUGAAAGUAAGUUGAAAGCUGGACUGACUUCCUUUUUUAAUUUUUUUUUAAAGUUUGGGAACCAUGUGUUGGCAUGGCAUGAGUGGGGAGAGACGGAGUUGGAAAGUGGGUUCUCCAAUGAGAAUUUCGAUCCCGGUGUGGCUUUGUAACACGUGAGUUAUCUGAGCUGCACUGAAAAGUAAUUCAGUUUUGUAGAAAAUACUGCAUUUGUUUAGACACGGACACAGAAGAGAUUUGAGGUACAGUAAUACAGUAUGUGAGAAAUCAAUACUUUUUUUCAAUAAAGGUGACAGCUUUAUGUCCAAAGAUAUAUCUAUAUUUAUGUCAGUCAAUUCUAUACUUUGUGACAUCAAGUUAUAGUACAUGAUAUUCUGCUAGUAAUGUCAUUGUGACUAUGGGGUUUUCUCUGUAUCACAUCAACAAUGCAUCGAACAAUUCAUCAUUUUGUCACAUCUAUCCGAUAAUGGAAUCUUGCUUUUGUGACAUCAUACUUAAAUGAAUUAUUUUUGUGACCUUCAUUUAAUCAUUUUUAGAAUGCCGAUUGGGUCUUUGCGUGUCAAAAAAGAUACGCAUCAAAUAAAACUAUAUGACACGUCAAAUAACACAAUUCUAUUAUAGAAUGUUGUGUGUGCUGUAUUUGCAUGUGCAAGCCAAGCGAAGAUACAGAUGUUAUUAGCAACUAGCUAGCUUUAGCAACUAGCUAGCUUUAGCUUGGUACCUAGCUGGCACCAAUGCAACCACCCUGAAAACAACAUUUUCACUAUUCUUAGCAAUAAUUUAGGAAUCCAUGUGAGUAAGUAUUAGCUAGGUAGCCACUUGUUUUUCUCCUAUUGAAAUCGAACUUCAGUUCAUGAAAAUAACUAGCUAGCCAGCUACUUACUUAGCCCUGUUGCCCAAAGCUAACGUUAUAAACAGCAAGCUAGCUUAAUAUAGCUAGUGAGGCUUGAACGGACCUGUUGUGAAGCUAGCCACAAUAAGGAUUAGCCACACUAGUGCAAUUUGCGGUUCGACUGCAAAAUAAAAGUCCCUUUGAAAGUGACGCAGAAGGUUACAAUUACAUAUUUAGACUAGAUAAUGUUGAACAAGUUUGAAGUGUUGGAAUGUGGAGCAAUGAAAUUGGGUAUCAGUCUACUCAUUGACACCCACAGAAUAUAACUGUGAAGAGUUUAUGUAAAUAUUAGCAUUGUAGCUUUUAUGGGAACUAUAGUACCCUUUCAAGCUCAUCAUUAAGCUCGGGGCCCAGGGUCUGAACUCCACCCUGUGCAACUGGGUCUUGGACUUCCUGAUGGGCCGCACCCAGGCGGUGAAGGUUAUGAAACAACACCGCCACUUCGCUGAUCCUCAACACGGGUGCUCAGCACUGAGCGUGCUCAGCCCCCUCCCGUACUUCCUUUUCAACCAUGACUGCGUGGCCAUGCACGCCUUCAACUCAGUCAUCAACUUUGCAGACGACACAAAAGUAGUAGGCCUGAUUACCAACAAUGAUGAGACACCCUACAGGGAGGAGGUGAGGGCCCUGGCGGAGUGGUGCUAGGAAAAUAACCUCAACAUCAACAUAACGAAGGAGUUGAUCGUGGACUUUAGGAAAAGGCAGAGGGAGCACGUCCCUAUCCACAUUGACGGGACAACAGUGGAGAAGGUGGAAAGCUUCCUCAGCGUACACAUCACUUAUGACCUGAAAUGGUCCAACCACACAGACAGUGGUGUGGAGAAGAAGCUGCAACAGCACCUCUUCAACCUCAGGAGGCUGAAGAAAUGCAGCUAUGCUCCCAAAACCCUCAGAAACUUUUACAGAUGCACAUUUGAGAGCAUCCUGUCAGGCUGUAUCACCGCCUGGUACGGCGACUGCACCGCCCGCACCUGCAGGGCUCUCCAGAGGGUGGUACGGUCUGCCCUACGCAUCCCCAGGGGCACACUGCCUGCCCUCCAAGACACCUACAGCACCCGAUGUCAUAGGAAGGCCAAAAAGAUCAUCAAGGACAUCAACCACCUGAGCCACGGCCUGUUCACCCCACUAUCAUCC
ensembl:lncRNA